GACGAACGCUGGCGGCGUGCUUAACACAUGCAAGUCGAACGGAAAGGCCCUGCUUUUGUGGGGUGCUCGAGUGGCGAACGGGUGAGUAACACGUGAGUAACCUGCCCUUGACUUUGGGAUAACUUCAGGAAACUGGGGCUAAUACCGGAUAGGAGCUCCUGCUGCAUGGUGGGGGUUGGAAAGUUUCGGCGGUUGGGGAUGGACUCGCGGCUUAUCAGCUUGUUGGUGGGGUAGUGGCUUACCAAGGCUUUGACGGGUAGCCGGCCUGAGAGGGUGACCGGCCACAUUGGGACUGAGGUACGGCCCAGACUCCUACGGGAGGCAGCAGUGGGGAAUAUUGCCCAAUGGGCGGAAGCCUGAUGCAGCAGCGCCGCGUGCGGGAUGACGGCCUUCGGGUUGUAAACCGCUUUCGCCUGUGACGAAGCGUGAGUGACGGUAAUGGGUAAAGAAGCACCGGCUAACUACGUG
rnacentral:rRNA from 1 species